CUGUCUGGACCACCGCGAGCA
rnacentral:siRNA from 1 species